AAAACUCCCGUAUGUUGACUCGCAGAUUCUCUGAAUCAUCCAAACUUUGAACCCACAUUGGCCCCCCUGGGAUUCCGGGAGGCAUGCCUGGCCGAACGGCCUUGCUGCCCUCAAACCCGGCUUGUGGGUGGGGACCCGUCCUCCGAUCCCGGGGGAUAGGCCCUAAAUUCAAAGGGGGUACCGCGACCGGUCCUCGAGCGUAUGGGGCUUUGUUACCCGCUCUGUAGGCCCGGCCGGCGCUUGACGAUCAACCCAAAUAUUUAUCCAAGUUGACCUCGGAUUAGGUAGGGAUACCCGUUGAAUUUAAGCAUAUCAAUAAGCGGAGAAACCGGGGCCGGAAAAAGUUGAAAAGUCUCCCCCCC
rnacentral:misc_RNA from 1 species